CUCCUCCUCCUCUCACCCAGGAUCACUUCCGAAACCACUUGGCCUUCAGCCCCUGCCUCGGCCAGAGGUUUCAUUUUUAACUGAAUAUUUACGAAAGCUGAAAGCGUGCGAGGGGGGUGGGGUGGAAAUAGCGGCUGCUUCUUUUCCAAGGAUUUAUUUAAUGGGGAUGUGUUCAAGGCAAGACCGAAUUCAGAAGGAUAUCGACGUCGUGAUCCAGAAGUCCAGAGCUGAGGACUGCCUGUUUGCAGAUUUCAGGUACUCAGACUCCACCUUUACUUUUACCUAUGUUGGCGGCCCCAGAAGG
rnacentral:lncRNA from 1 species